rnacentral:rRNA from 1 species
UUAAGCUAUAAAGGGCGUAGGACGGAUGCCUUGGCACCAAGCGCCGAUGAAGGACGUGACAAGCUGCGAUAAGCCACGGGGAGUUGCAAAUGAACUUUGAUCCGUGGAUUUCCGAAUGAGGAAACUCACAUAUGGUAAUGCAUAUGUAACCAUACAUGAAUACAUAGUGUAUGGUGGGGAACCCGGGGAACUGAAACAUCUAAGUACCCGGAGGAAAAGAAAGAAAACAAUCGAUUUCCUGAGUAGUGGUGAGCGAAAGGGAAAGAGCCUAAACGUUUGUAUAGUGAUAUAUAAACGGGUUACGGACCCCAUAACGUACUGAUUUUUGUAGUUGAACACAGUUGGAAAGCUGGGCGAAACAGAGUAAAAGCCUCGUAGGCGAAACCGAAAUCAGACCGGGGGUAUCCAGAGUAUCACAGGACACGAGAAAUCCGGUGGGAAGACAGGAGGACCAUCUCCUAAGGCUAAAUACGACUUGGUGACCGAUAGAGUAUAGUACCGUGAGGGAAAGGUGAAAAGAACCCCGGGAGGGGAGUGAAAGAGAACCUGAAAUCCUAUGCUUACAAGCAGACAUAGCACUACUUGAAAGUGUGAUGUCGUACUUUUUGUAGAACGGGCCGGCGAGUUACGAUGUGUAGCGAGGUUAAGUGAUUAAGUCACGGAGCCGAAGCGAAAGCGAGUUUGAAAUGAGCGAUAGUUGCAUGUCGUAGACCCGAAACCAGAUGACCUAUUCAUGGACAGGUUGAAGCAGCGGUAAGACGCUGUGGAGGACCGAACCCACGUUCGUUGAAAAGACCGGGGAUGAGCUGUGAAUAGCGGAGAAAUUCCAAACGAAUCUGGAGAUAGCUGGUUCUCCUCGAAAUAGCUUUAGGGCUAGCCUCGCGUUAGUGUACCGAAGGUAGAGCACUGUAUGAGCUAGGGGGCUUCACGGCUUACUGAACUCUAACAAACUUCGAAUGACGGAUACAUGAUGCGAGGGAGUCAGACAGUGUGAGAUAAGUCUCAUUGUCAAAAGGGAAACAGCCCAGACCUACAACUAAGGUCCCAAAGUACAAGUUAAGUGGUAAAGGAUGUGUCGACGCUAAAACAACCAGGAUGUUGGCUUAGAAGCAGCCACUCAUUUAAAGAGUGCGUAAUAGCUCACUGGUCGAGUAUCGGUGCGCCGAAGAUUAUCGGGGCUAAAACUUGUCACCGAAGUUUAGGGAUAUGCGAUUGCAUAUCGGUAGAGGAGCAAUGUGUACGGGCAGAAGCUGUAUCGAAAGGGGCAGUGGACUGUACACAAGAGAGAAUGCCGGCAUAAGUAGCGAGAGCAAAGUGAGAAACUUUGCCGUCGAAAGCCUUAGGUUUCCUGGGGAAGGUUCGUCCUCCCAGGGUAAGUCGGGACCUAAGCCGAGGCCGAAAGGCGUAGGUGAUGGACAACAGGUAGAUAUUCCUGUACCACCGACAGUCGUUUAAAUGAAGCAAUGACACAGAAGGAUAGUCAAACCGCGUUGAUGGAUAUAUGCGGCCAAAUCAUUAGGCUUAUGUGUAGUGAAGUACGCACAUAGUUAAGGCUGAGUGAUGAUGGGGAGUGAAAACUAGUAAUGAAGUUGAUGAUUCCACGCUGGCGAGAAAAGUUGCUAAAUAUGGCUGAAGGUGCCCGUACCGCAAACCGACACAGGUAGGUGAGGAGAAAAUCCUAAGACGAGCGGGAUAACCCAUGUUAAGGAACUCUGCAAAAUCACCCCGUAACUUAGGGAGAAGGGGUACCACGCAAGUGGUCGCAGUGAAGAGGCCCAAGCGACUGUUUACCAAAAACACAGGUCUCUGCUAAAUCGUAAGAUGAAGUAUAGGGGCUGACGCCUGCCCAGUGCUGGAAGGUUAAGGGGAUGUGUUAGCGCAAGCGAAGCACGGAACUUAAGCCCCAGUGAACGGCGGCCGUAACUAUAACGGUCCUAAGGUAGCGAAAUUCCUUGUCAGGUAAGUUCUGACCCGCACGAAUGGCGUAACGAUUUGGGCGCUGUCUCAACAUGGGACCCGGCGAAAUUGUAGUAUACGUGAAGAUGCGUAUUACCCGCGACUGGACGGAAAGACCCCGUAGAGCUUUACU